UACGUAGGGACCGAGCGUUGUCCGGAAUCAUUGGGCGUAAAGAGCGUGUAGGCGGCUAUUUAAGUCCUGCGUGAAAUCCUGCGGCUCAACCGCAGACGGUCGUGGGAAACUGGAUGGCUAGAGUGCGGGAGAGGAGAGUGGAAUUCCCGGUGUAGCGGUGAAAUGCGCAGAUAUCGGGAAGAACACCCGUGGCGAAGGCGGCUCUCUGGAACGCAACUGGACGCUGAGACGCGAAAGCGUGGGAGCAAACA
rnacentral:rRNA from 1 species